rnacentral:lncRNA from 1 species
AAAUUCUAAACGGAAGCCAAAGUAUGAACCCAAGUAUAGCUGGAUGACCAAGGAGCCCUCUUCCAUCUGACUGAAUCUCAUCCAAUUUUGAGGGGAGGAGCCUGCAUGGAGAGCAAACUCUGGGGUAAAAUUACAUGAUCUCACUGCCUGAAGGAUACCAGGCUUAGGUGCAGAGUCACAAAAGUGAAACUGUGCACCUACUACCCGCCAGGAAAUGAACCAGGCCAUGAGAACACAAAACAGGCAGACACAGACGGCCCUUGAGUUCACGGAAAGCAGAUUCUCAUGCAGAUCACAUUAACCUCACAGGGCAAACAAGAGAUUAAAGUGCUGGGAAUAGGGAUACCAGGUAAAUACUGUUUCCAAAACCAGCCAAGGAUGAAUCAGAAAUGACUGAGAAUUGAGUGAAAAGAACAAAAUGAAAAACAUACAAUACUAAAAACAGAAAAAAGUAGGAAAAUAAAAUAGUGAAUGACUA